ensembl:lncRNA
CACAGAUGCACACGCUAACCCCCAAUUUGGAGACGCUACACUUCACGUGGGAGGCGUGUGGAAAGAUGGAUCACAGGAAGGGAGGACAGCUGGAAUUCAGAUGCAGGUCGAGGGUGUUUGGUCCGCGGAGCAGGGAGAGAUGUUUGAUCUAUUGCAGAGACAGGCCAAGGCUACUGAGGAGUGGUUGAAAACACACGAAGCUGAACACUUAGCACACAGACAUAAAACACACCACAUGACAACUAGAUCUCAAGGAUAUGAUAAUACACAGACACUCAACUAUCAGUUACCAUUGAUUCAAACUGAACACCAGAUCAAAUAUCGUCCAUUCCCACUAGGUGAUGUACAGGCACUAGUGGAUAAAUUACCUCCAGUGGCCGAAGGUGGAGCAAUGUGGCUGAGUCAACUUGACAGUCUGACAGCAGGUCACAGACUCGCUCUAGGUGAUUUUCGGGCCGUUAUUUCUAGGUGUCUUACAGCUUCAGAAGUGAGGGACAUAGAGGAGGACGCCGCCACUACUAGACAGAGAGAUGACACACCUUUCACUCAGGUCAGCACUGAAAUAGGCAGAGCACUAAGACAUAAAUAUCCUCUGCCUGCUGGAGCCGCCGUUCCCACUUUGAAAUGGGACCCCAAACAGAGUCCAAGAGAAUAUCUUAAUCAAAGCAAAGACACAUGGAUCAAACACACCGGGUGCCACCCUGGUAACCCAGGCAUUCAGAGGGUGUGGUACAGGACCGCCGUCUUAAACGGGGUUCCUGAGACUGUAAAAACUGCCAUGGAUAAUAACCCAGACAUGGCAGGGUGUGAUUCCAGUGUGUGGGAGAGACAUCUAGUACAUCACUUGGCACGUGCCCAAGAGGCAGCACAAGCUGACAGUAAGGAUGUCCAGGAUUUGCAAACACAAUUAUUGAAACUGCAAUUGACUGAGGCCAGACAGAAGGCCAAUGACAAAAAGAAAGAUAAAAAUAAUAAAGUCAUGGUUGUCACUGAAAGCUCUGACGCACCUCCGGUCACACCUUGGGUGCCUCCAUCACCUUAUUCUCCUGAUUAUCAGCAGCCUACGGGGUCCUACAGGGGGUACGGAUCAGGGAGGGGCAGAUGGAGAGACAGGCGCGGAAGGGGUGGAACACUUAGGGGAC